UCGCUGCAAAGAUUAACCCCCCAUCAAAUUCCGAAGCGGGCGCUAUACCUGGCGGUGGAACCAAGCGGCCUCUAGAGGAUAGCAUGGACAGGAAUGAUGGCUCACCAGACGCCAAGAAACUGGCCGCCGUGAAUGACCCUUUCGGAGCACAGCUAGCGGCACUGGCUCAAGAGG